UAAGGAAUAUUGGUCAAUGGACGCAAGUCUGAACCAGCCAUGCCGCGUGAAGGAUUAAGGCCCUCUGGGUUGUAAACUUCUUUUAUAGGGGAAGAAAUGUGACGGUUCUCCGUCACUUGACGGUACCCUGGGAAUAAGCACCGGCUAACUCCGUGCCAGCAGCCGCGGUAAUACGGAGGGUGCAAGCGUUAUCCGGAUUCACUGGGUUUAAAGGGUGCGUAGGUGGGCAGAUAAGUCAGUGGUGAAAUCUUCCGGCUUAACCGGGAAACUGGCGUUGAUACUAUUUGUCUUGAAUAUUGCGGAGGUAAGCGUAAUAUUUCAUGUAGCGGUGAAAUGCUUAGAUAUGACAGAGAACACCCAUUGCGAAGGCAGCUUACUACACAAUCAUUGACACUGAGGCACGAAAGCGUGGGUAGCGAACA
rnacentral:rRNA from 1 species